rnacentral:tRNA from 2 species
GGCCGAGAGGCUGAAGGCGCUCCCCUGCUAAGGGAGUAUACGGUUUAUAGCCGUAUCGAGGGUUCGAAUCCCUCC